rnacentral:rRNA from 1 species
GACGAACGCUGGCGGCGCGCCUAACACAUGCAAGUCGAACGAGCGAGAGAGAGCUUGCUUUCUCGAGCGAGUGGCGAACGGGUGAGUAACGCGUGAGGAACCUGCCUCAAAGAGGGGGACAACAGUUGGAAACGACUGCUAAUACCGCAUAAGCCCACGGCUCGGCAUCGAGCAGGGGGAAAAGGAGCAAUCCGCUUUGAGAUGGCCUCGCGUCCGAUUAGCUAGUUGGUGGGGUAACGGCCCACCAAGGCGACGAUCGGUAGCCGGACUGAGAGGUUGAACGGCCACAUUGGGACUGAGACACGGCCCAGACUCGUACGGGAGGCAGCAGUGGGGAAUAUUGCACAAUGGGGGAAACCCUGAUGCAGCGACGCCGCGUGGAGGAAGAAGGUCUUCGGAUUGUAAACUCCUGUUGUUGGGGAAGAUAAUGACGGUACCCAACAAGGAAGUGACGGCUAACUACGUG